CGAGGGGUAUGGGAAGCUUGCUUCCCUGAGACCGGCGCACGGGUGCGUAACGCGUAUGCAACCUACCCUUUUCUGGGGGAUAGCCCGGAGAAAUCCGGAUUAAUACCGCAUAAGACCAUACGAUGGCAUCAUCGAGGGGUCAAACAUUUAUGGGAGAAGGAUGGGCAUGCGUGCCAUUAGCUAGUUGGCGGGGUAACGGCCCACCAAGGCGACGAUGGCUAGGGGAUCUGAGAGGAUGGCCCCCCACACUGGUACUGAGACACGGACCAGACUCCUACGGGAGGCAGCAGUAAGGAAUAUUGGUCAAUGGGCGCAAGCCUGAACCAGCCAUGCCGCGUGCAGGAAGACGGCCCUCCGGGUUGUAAACUGCUUUUGUACGGGAAUAAACCUCGCUACGUGUAGGGAGCUGAAUGUACCGUAAGAAUAAGGAUCGGCUAACUCCGUGCCAGCAGCCGCGGUAAUACGGAGGAUCCAAGCGUUAUCCGGAUUUAUUGGGUUUAAAGGGUGCGUAGGCGGCCUGUUAAGUCAGGGGUGAAAGACGGUGGCUCAACCAUUGCAGUGCCCUUGAUACUGAUGGGCUUGAAUGGACUAGAGGUAGGCGGAAUGUGACAAGUAGCGGUGAAAUGCAUAGAUAUGUCACAGAACACCGAUUGCGAAGGCAGCUUACUAUGGUUUUAUUGACGCUGAGGCACGAAAGCGUGGGGAUCGAACAGGAUUAGAUACCCUGGUAGUCCACGCCCUAAACGAUGAACACUCGCUGUUGGCGAUAAACGGUCAGCGGCUAAGCGAAAGCGUUAAGU
rnacentral:rRNA from 1 species